rnacentral:lncRNA from 1 species
AAGAAGAUCUUCCCUGAAGGAGAAGAAAUUCUGCUUGUGGAAUAGAUUCAGUCCAUCCCUGUGAGUUCUAGCUAGCCCUUCCUCACAGCCUGCCCUGAUGUUUUGGACUUUCGUGGCCAUCCACCACAACCAUGUCAGCUGAUUCUUUAGGGUAAAAUAAUCUCUUAUAAUGUCUCUGCUUCGGGUUCUGUUUCUUGAUUGAACCUGAACUGACACAUAUGUGACUGACUCCAUCCAGGUGUCUGUGUGGUCACAAAGUGGCUGCCAGUAGAGUCUAUCACAUAUGCUAUCCCAUCCCUGUCCAGGAAGGACACAUGCCAUCUCAUCCCCUUAACCACUGAAGGAAGUCCUGAGCUUUGUGCUGCUAGUAGAUCCUACUGUGUCUGUCUUGCGACCUUGUAUUUUCAUAGUCUGGGACUCCUUUUUAGCACUUCUAGAAAAGACUCAGAAAAAGUCCUUCAAGAAAAAUCCCAGUUUGGCUUUGCAGAAAGAAUGCAGACAUUGGAGGGAUACAGACUUUAGUUUAAAUCUCACUUCUG